rnacentral:tRNA from 6 species
UGAACAUGACGGUUAAAACCCUUCCUUUACCA